rnacentral:lncRNA from 1 species
GUUAAACAUGUUUGUGAGAGCUCAAUCCUAACUCUAACAUGGGACAGUUGUGUUACAGCUUAAAAUAAGAACAAAUUGUUUUUUCUUUCAAACAAGGUAAUAAUGUAUAUCUUUAUUUUAUAAAAUUGGUCAUGGAUAGAAAAAUAUAAAACAUUGAUUGGCACACAGUUAACAGUAAGCAAAUAAGAGGAUUGUAUUUUUGAUUCAUUUUGAUUGAUUCGCAAUUUCUGUGCCAAUUAUUUCUAAAACAAGAGGGUGGUCUUUCAUCACAGGCCACUGAGCUUUGAUAUUGUCCAUUUCACGUAAAUAGUUUGAAACGCUACGAAGUAGUGUAAACUUGUCAAGUAUUUUCCAGAGUCUUUCGUCUGGGUUCUUGUAACUUUUCUUUGCUACAUUUCGUAAACAAUUAAUCAAAUACAACUGUAUUUUCUCCACUUUUUCAGGUUCUUGUAAUGUGCACUGAUCUACAAUACAGAAACA